GCACUGCUGAGGAGUCGCAUAAUAGGACGAAACGGUCGUCCAGCGC
rnacentral:hammerhead_ribozyme from 1 species